rnacentral:tRNA from 1 species
UCACCGGGUGGCCGGGUGGCUCGGGCCGGCUUCGGUGGCCGGGCCGCUGGGUCGCGGGGUGGCUCGGGCCGGCUUCGGUGGCCGGGCCGCUGGG